UUCCGGUUGAUCCUGCCGGACCUGACUGCUAUCGGAUUGAUACUAAGCCAUGCGAGUCUUUGUAGUAAUACAAGGCAUACGGCUCAGUAACGCGUAGUCAACCUACCCUAUGGACAAGAAUAAUCUCGGGAAACUGAGCAUAAUUCUUGAUAGAUCAUAAUGCCUGGAAUGGUAUAUGGUUAAAAUGAUUCGUCGCCAUAGGAUGGGACUGCGGCCUAUCAGCUUGUUGGUGAGGUAAUGGCCCACCAAGGCGAUUACAGGUACGGGCUCUGAGAGGAGAAGCCCGGAGAUGGGUACUGAGACAAGGACCCAGGCCCUAUGGGGCGCAGCAGGCGAGAAAACUUUGCAAUGUGCGAAAGCACGACAAGGUUAAUCCGAGUGAUUUCUGCUAAAGAAAUCUUUUGCAAGUCAUAAAACCACUAGUGAAUAAGGGGUGGGCAAGUUCUGGUGUCAGCCGCCGCGGUAAAACCAGCACCUCAAGUGGUCAGGAGGAUUAUUGGGCCUAAAGCAUCCGUAGCCGGCUCUGUAAGUUUUCGGUUAAAUCCAUGUGCUCAACACAUGGGCUGCCGAAAAUACUGCAUAGCUAGGGAGUGGGAGAGGUAGACGGUACUCGGUAGGAAGGGGUAAAAUCCUUUGAUCUAUCGAUGACCACCUGUGGCGAAGGCGGUCUACCAGAACACGUUCGACGGUGAGGGAUGAAAGCUGGGGGAGCAAACCGGAUUAGAUACCCGGGUAGUCCCAGCUGUAAACGAUGCAGACUCGAUGAUGCAUUGGCAUAUAGCCAGUGCAGUGUCGCAGGGAAGCCGUUAAGUCUGCCGCCUGGGAAGUACGUACGCAAGUAUGAAACUUAAAGGAAUUGGCGGGGGAGCACCACAAGGGGUGAAGCCUGCGGUUCAAUUGGAUUCAACGCCGGG
rnacentral:rRNA from 1 species